UAAUAUGAUUAGCACAACGGCUAAUUUACCAAAACCUUAUAGUAAAUGUAACUUACUAAUUUUAAUUGUUUUCGCCAUCACCAUCAUCACUGUGAUCAUUCUUCUUCUCCAAACAGAAGAGUCAGCUCCACUUACACAGAUGACUGAAGAGAAGACAGCAGACACUGGUCAAAGUGAGCAAAAGCCACCAACAGCAGAGAGUGGGACAAACACAGUUGCACCAGUUACAGCAGAGAAGUCAACUAUUCCUGACGCACAAAUCAUACAAAUACCAGGUAAAUACACAUUGUAAGGAGGAGGACUGUUAAAUACACAUUGAUAUGAUUUAGAUACAAUAUACUAACAGAUGUAUUUCCGUCUAAACAGCACUGAAGACAGUGAAAGGAAAUGAAGGUAAAUCACACUGUAAAUGAGACUAAGUAAAUACACUACAGUAUAUUCAAAAAUAGCCAAACAUCAUGUAAGCUCUUAUAUUCUUCAGUGCAUCUCACCCCGGAUACUGAAACGACUCCUCCUUUCAUGAGUGUGGGGGACGAUGGAAAAUCAGUCACAUGUUCUGAUCCAGAGAAGCAGGCUGCCCAUGGAGACCACCAUCCUCAUGUUCUGUGUAAAGAGAGACUCAUCUCACACCAACACUACUGGGAGGUGAGGGGCAAUUCUACAUUAGACAGUUUGGGAACAAGUAAGCUAACACCCCUUCAAGAUAGACAGUCCUGGUAUGUGGGAGUGUGCACAACGACGGCAGCAGAGAGCAACAACAAACUUCCUUUAACUCCAGAAAAUGGCUUCUGGGUCCUCCAUUUUCAAAAAGGAAAGGGUUUCUUUGCUAACACAGACCCUGAAACUAUGAUACAAAUGGGGAAUAUUCUUGAGAUACUUGGAGUGUUUUUGGACUGUGACAAACACACACUAUCGUUUUAUAACACUUUAGAAGAAACGCAUGUUUGUACUUUCUAUAACAUUCCACCCCUGAAGACCCUUGUCCCUCUGCUCUGCCCUGGACUCAAAGAUGGAGACUGUUUGUAUGUUGCUGAAUAUAUCAGGGAGGCAAUCAUAAAGCGCCCACGUGACCUCACAACGUUUUCUGAGAGCUGAGAACUGAGAAGUGAAACUUUGUGGAAGUGUGAGUGUUUGGCACCUUAAAGGAUCCAUGACAGAUCAUGUUCUCUUUUUUCUUAGACUAUUGCAACGUAGUAUGUUUUCAAUCAUUGUGUAAUUAUUUAUUGGUGCUUGAUGAUAUUGUUAGUGGUGAUUGCUUUAUAUUAAAGUUUGUCCGAUUUGUAAAUAUUUUAUUGACAU